rnacentral:lncRNA from 1 species
AAAAAUCAAAGAGGAAAUGAAGGUAGCCCUCUCUUGUAGGAAAUUAGGGUACACUCACUAACACUGUACUUUUACCCUUUUCAUCUUCUUCCUUCUUCUUCCUUCUUGAUCUCUCUCUUCAAUACUAUCAUCCCUAUCCCUAUAAUACUGUUUUCAAUUCACUCUCCUUUCUCUUUCUUUCUCUCUCUCUCUCUCCACAACAUGCUUCAAAAUCCCUGAUAAAAAAUCUGAAGCCCAACCCACUCUCCUCUCUUUUCUCUCUGAAAUCUUCCUUCUUCUCCACACAAUAACUGAGUCAACUGUCUUUCCAAUAAAGCAAAUUCAAAAAGAAAAAACAGUAACAUAGAGAGAGAGAGAGAGAGAGAAAUUUUCAAGAACACCGAAUUAUUAAAGAUCCAAAAUCUUUAUCUAUAUAUAUAAUCUUUUAGAUCAGAAGCGCAAGCAUUAAUUACUGAAUAGUCAUGAAUUCUCUUCAAGAAUUUGAUUCAUCAUCAAACACUACUUCAUCACUCAACAACAAUUUCGGAGUACUACCUUUAUCUUCUCCAGCUGCAUCAUCAUCAACCUCAUCACCACCGCCACCGCAACCACCACCGCCACAACCACCGUN